AUCGUAGGCUUAAACUCUCCUCAGUGCUCAGUCCUGGCCUCUCUUGUUUCUCAAGUCUUGACCGUGAAGCGUGAAGCACCAGACCUGUCCGCUCGUCAUGUCGAUUCCCUUCCUUUUUUCUCCUGAUUGCUCUUGAAAUGGGUUGAUGACAUUAAGCAAUUAGCAAAGGGGCUGGGAGAGAACUUCACUGAUAGAGAUGGUUGAUGAAGCUGACCCAGAUUGUGCUCCCAAACAAAUUUGGCGGAAUCAACUUCACUGGGAUACUUCCUCAUCAAAUUUGAAAUGGUGUCUUCCUCACAAGAAUUUUCAAUGGCAUGUAAAGCCAUAGCAUUCUUCUUGAUCCAAUCCUUGUAGUUGGGAUCAUUUGCUUGGGGUUUUUCUUCCUCUCCAAACACUAUGCUCCCCAAGUCUUGACCGAUCAGGUAAUGUUUCAUGCAUUCUUUCCAAUUCUCAAAAUUAGCUUCCAUUCGCUUUUUGAUGACAAGGCUACCAAAUCCACUAGUAUUUGUUGUUGCCAUGGCUACUAGGUCAAAAUUCAAAUAUAUAGUUAUUUUCUUUU